rnacentral:misc_RNA from 1 species
GGAAAUUACCAGGAAUAAAAUGGAGGAACUUAGAUUGGUUUGUGACAGGGAGAUUCCAAUUCAACAGCAGAGAAUCGAUGCUGCCACUCGUUCCUUCAAAAAAUGUCUCGAUUCAACCAAGACACAAGCACAAGAAACUCUUCAAUUACAGUCAAAACUUGGCAAGUUAAAAGUUGAGCUAAGGGAGUUGGAAGACAAAUUGGUGAAAGCACUUGCAGCGAAGACCCGAAG